rnacentral:rRNA from 1 species
UACAGAGGGUGCAAGCGUUAAUCGGAAUUACUGGGCGUAAAGCGUGUGUAGGUGGUUAGGUAAGUUAGAUGUGAAAUCCCCGGGCUCAACCUGGGAACUGCGUUUAAAACUGCUUAGCUAGAGUACUGUAGAGGAUAGUGGAAUUUCCAGUGUAGCGGUGAAAUGCGUAGAUAUUGGAAGGAACACCAGUGGCGAAGGCGACUAUCUGGAUAGAUACUGACACUGAGACACGAGAGCGUGGGGAGCAAACAGG